rnacentral:tRNA from 1 species
GAGGGCGAUGUAAGAUCUGCUAACUCUUUAAUCCGGAAUUAAAAUCCGGCCCCCUCU